CGCCGCCCUGGAUUCUCGAGGCCUCAACCUCCCAGGCCCCAGGCCUCUACUUCUGCUUCUCCGCUCCGCCUGUGGGCACCUGGCAAGGGGCCUGACCCCACCACCGGGGAGAGGCGGGGCCUGGUGGGCGUGGCCGGCGGGGCGGGGUUGGGCCCUGGCGGGAACUAAAGGAAGUGGGCUCGCGGCGCCUGCGCACUCCACUCCACGGACGUCGGUUUUUUCUGCCCGGCGCCCGCGCCCUUCGCUGCGCGACCCGCGUUCCGCGUCCCGCAUCUCACGCAGCUGUCCCUCCUGCUCGCACCUCGUUGGGAGGUCAGCAACGGUUCCAGCCUCCAGGACGAGCGCAUCACAAACCUACUGGUGUUUGG
rnacentral:lncRNA from 1 species